UCCGGGGGGAGCAAGCGUUGUUCGGAUUUACUGGGCGUAAAGGGCGCGUAGGCGGCCACCGCAAGUCGACUGUGAAAUCUCCGGGCUUAACUCGGAAAGGUCAGCCGAUACUGCGGGGCUAGAGUGCAGAAGGGGCAGCUGGAAUUCUCGGUGUAGCGGUGAAAUGCGUAGAUAUCGAGAGGAACACCUGCGGCGAAGGCGGGUUGCUGGGCUGACACUGACGCUGAGGCGCGAAAGCUAGGGGAGCGAACGGG
rnacentral:rRNA from 1 species